AUUAAUUUAAUAGUGUUUGAAUGAUUUACUAGAAAGAAAUUAAAUACAUGCGGCAUAUGUAAUAGUAAAUCUCUGGAUUAUUUGUUAUAUACGUACUAUUUGGCAUGUUAUAUACGUAUCAAACACAUUUUUUUUCAUUACACCAUAAUAAAUUAUUAUAUUCUCACCUGCAUUCUUACAAUUAUUCAAAUGUAAUUCAUUUAAUUAUGGUUAAAAGACCACAGAGAAACCAAGCAAUUAAAUUGAAGUAUAUAUGCAUGUUGUUAACGCCAGAUUUUGUAUGUCUAUGUCUGACAAAAUUAUUAAAACAUGUCCAAAAUCGUGCUAACAGUUGAUUGUAUUGUCGUGAAAUCAAACUCACGAAAUACACUCAAGAUAAACAUAUAAAAAUAUAAAACAUGAACACAAGAAUAUACCUGAGAAAAAAUCUACUACUCCCUCCGUCCCAGGAUAAAAGUCCUUAUUACUAUUUUAGGUAGUCCCAUGUUAAAUGUCCACUUUCCUUUAAUAACCAAACUUUUAAACAAUUUUUCCUAUUAUACUCUUAGCAUUAAAUAUCUCAUAUUUUUCUUAUUCUAAUUCUCUGUUCAUAUUUAAUAAGUAUAUUUUGAAUUGAAAAGUUAUAAAAUCACUCUCUCACCUACAUUGGAAAUGAUUAAUGAAAUAUUAUUAUGGGCAAUUUUGUCAUUUCAUUCCUCUUUAUAAUAUGCGUGAAAAGUUCACCAGAACUUUUAUCCUGGGAAGAAGUAUAAUAAUACGAAGAAUACAAAUUGUGUAUUUGUGUAAUAUGUAUCGUGUGUAAUGUCUCCAAACUCUUACUUAUUGCAGUAUUUGUAGAUGUCAUGUCCUCCAUAUAAUUACAACAUGCCAAUCCCUUGAUAUGUAACUGUAAGGUAUGCUUAUGGAUGAACAAAAAUUGCUUUAACUUAGUUACUUGAUACAUUGUAUUCUGUGGCUUUGUUUAUACUUACUUACUUGAACACAUUGGUGUUGAUAUCUUUGUAUUUUGGGGAACAGCGGGGUGCAGCAGGAGCCGCGCAGCAGAGGUACAGCAGCAGGCAGUGCCGAAGCCGGGGCAGCGAGCGACUGAGCGUCUGGCUGCGUGAGGGAAAUCAGAUGAUGGCGAUUGGUUGUGACUGGUGAGUCGUGAGAGAGGGAGGAUAGUGAUGAGAGAGAUUUGGGCGCAGCGGUGAAGAAGCAUGACGAACUGAAGGCUAGAGCCUGUUCGGGAGCAGACCAACUUAUAAGCUACUGUUUUCAUCUGUUCGUGUUCGUUUGCAACUUAAAUUGUGACUUAUUUUUUUAAUUUAUAAGUCAAAAAUAAUAAGUAAUACAAUUUAUAACCUAUUGAAAAUAUGUCAU
rnacentral:lncRNA from 1 species